GGGUUGUGAGGUUAAGCGACUAAGCGUACACGGUGGAUGCCCUGGCAGUCAGAGGCGAUGAAGGACGUGCUAAUCUGCGAUAAGCGUCGGUAAGGUGAUAUGAACCGUUAUAACCGGCGAUUUCCGAAUGGGGAAACCCAGUGUGAUUCGUCACACUAUCAUUACGUGAAUACAUAGCGUAAUGAAGCGAACCGGGGGAACUGAAACAUCUAAGUACCCCGAGGAAAAGAAAUCAACCGAGAUUCCCCCAGUAGCGGCGAGCGAACGGGGAGCAGCCCAGAGUCUGAAUCAGCUUGUGUGUUAGUGGAACGGUCUGGAAAGUCCGACGGUACAGGGUGAUAGUCCCGUACACCAAAAUGCACAGGUUGUGAACUCGAAGAGUAGGGCGGGACACGUGGUAUCCUGUCUGAAUAUGGGGGGACCAUCCUCCAAGGCUAAAUACUCCUGACUGACCGAUAGUGAACCAGUACCGUGAGGGAAAGGCGAAAAGAACCCCGGCGAGGGGAGUGAAAAAGAACCUGAAACCGUGUACGUACAAGCAGUGGGAGCCUCUUUAUGGGGUGACUGCGUACCUUUUGUAUAAUGGGUCAGCGACUUAUAUUCUGUAGCAAGGUUAACCGUAUAGGGGAGCCGAAGGGAAACCGAGUCUUAACUGGGCGUUAAGUUGCAGGGUAUAGACCCGAAACCCGGUGAUCUAGCCAUGGGCAGGUUGAAGGUUGGGUAACACUAACUGGAGGACCGAACCGACUAAUGUUGAAAAAUUAGCGGAUGACUUGUGGCUGGGGGUGAAAGGCCAAUCAAACCGGGAGAUAGCUGGUUCUCCCCGAAAGCUAUUUAGGUAGCGCCUCGUGAACUCAUCUUCGGGGGUAGAGCACUGUUUCGGCUAGGGGGUCAUCCCGACUUACCAACCCGAUGCAAACUGCGAAUACCGAAGAAUGUUAUCACGGGAGACACACGGCGGGUGCUAACGUCCGUCGUGAAGAGGGAAACAACCCAGACCGCCAGCUAAGGUCCCAAAGUCAUGGUUAAGUGGGAAACGAUGUGGGAAGGCACAGACAGCCAGGAUGUUGGCUUAGAAGCAGCCAUCAUUUAAAGAAAGCGUAAUAGCUCACUGGUCGAGUCGGCCUGCGCGGAAGAUGUAACGGGGCUAAACCAUGCACCGAAGCUGCGGCAGCGACACUAUGUGUUGUUGGGUAGGGGAGCGUUCUGUAAGCCGUUGAAGGUGGCCUGUGAGGGUUGCUGGAGGUAUCAGAAGUGCGAAUGCUGACAUAAGUAACGAUAAUGCGGGUGAAAAACCCGCACGCCGGAAGACCAAGGGUUCCUGUCCAACGUUAAUCGGGGCAGGGUGAGUCGACCCCUAAGGCGAGGCCGAAAGGCGUAGUCGAUGGGAAACAGGUUAAUAUUCCUGUACUUGGUGUUACUGCGAAGGGGGGACGGAGAAGGCUAUGUUAGCCGGGCGACGGUUGUCCCGGUUUAAGCAUGUAGGCGGAGGUUCCAGGUAAAUCCGGUACCUUUU
rnacentral:rRNA from 1 species